UACGAAGGGGGCUAGCGUUGCUCGGAAUCACUGGGCGUAAAGCGCACGUAGGCGGACUCUUAAGUCGGUGGUGAAAUCCUGGAGCUCAACUCCAGAACUGCCUUCGAUACUGAGAGUCUCGAGUCCGAGAGAGGUGAGUGGAACUGCGAGUGUAGAGGUGAAAUUCGUAGAUAUUCGCAAGAACACCAGUGGCGAAGGCGGCUCACUGGCCCGAUACUGACGCUGAGGUGCGAAAGCGUGGGGAGCGAACAGG
rnacentral:rRNA from 1 species